rnacentral:tRNA from 1 species
UCUGUUUUGUUGUAGUGUAGCAUAAUGGCUUUUCGUGCCUUAGGUGAUAAAUUUUAUCAAACAGAG